GUGCGGCCCGGGCUGCGGCCCCGGGUCCGAGGAGGCCCGGGGAGACCCGGAGGAGGUCAGAAGGCCUUCAGGGUCCCCGGGAUGGGGUGGAAACUGAGACCCAGAGAGCCGUGACUUGACUGAUCCCACAGCCAGGAAAUGGUGGAGCCUGGAUUUGAACCCCAGCUUUUAAGAAGAAGGUGCCACUGUCCUGGAAGAACUCUCAGGACAGCAUUAGUGUCUCAGGGAUCCCCCUAAUCGGAGGGGCCUUAAGGCAACCUAAUCAUGAUUGUCACUGAAGAUCCAGGAGGGCUUCCUGGAGGAGGAGGCAGCUCCAUUCUGAAAUGCCAAGGGUACAGCUUUAUUGGGACAGCCAGUGUCUCUGAAUAUGUAGGUUUUGCACAGAGCUUGUACUGCCCCAGGGCCUGUACACUGCCUGUCCCCUCUGCCUUGUGCACUCUUUCCCUAGAUGUCCAAAUGGCUCCUUUCCUCACCUACCCCAAAUCUCAAUUCCAGUGUUUCCCCAGCCUCCCCUCAUUUCAGUAAUCACUCUGCAGUGAGCUAGGAUUGCGCCACUGCACUCCAGCUUGGAUAAGAGAACAAGACCCUGUCUCUUAAC
rnacentral:lncRNA from 1 species